rnacentral:rRNA from 1 species
CCUACGGGUGGCUGCAGUGGGGAAUAUUGGACAAUGGGGGAAACCCUGAUCCAGCAAUGCCGCGUGAGUGACGAAGGCCUUAGGGUUGUAAAGCUCUUUCGCCCGAGACGAUGAUGACGGUAUCGGGAGAAGAAGCCCCGGCUAAUUCCGUGCCAGCAGCCGCGGUAAUACGGAAGGGGCUAGCGUUGUUCGGAUUUACUGGGCGUAAAGCGCGCGUAGGCGGCCGUGCAAGUGAGGCGUGAAAGCCCCGGGCUCAACCUGGGAACCGCGCUUCA